CUCGCGGACCCAGGACCGACAUCCGGCGGCCUCGGGAGCUCCGCUUACGCUCCCUCAGUCCCCGAGGCGGGCGCGACGCUAGGCUCGGGAGCUGAAGGCGCUGGGCCAAGUGGCCCGCCGACAGGGUAGGGCGGGGGUCCCGGUAGAGCUCUUUCCAGGGAGGUAGUCAGCCCUCGCGGGGCCGGAUCUCCGGGACCAACUUUUUUCUCUGCGGCCCCUGCCCGGCGACCCCGGACGGGCGUUUCUCGGCCGGCGGCCGAGUCCUGGGCCUGGACCGAGCCAGCCCCGGGGGACCCCCUCGUCUUCCGAGCCAUGACCCGACGGCAUCCUUCCCCCGACCGCUCGGUCCGCCGCCGCCCAAAUCCCCUGGGUCGCGUCAUUUCAGUAGCGCUUGUACCGCGGAGGAGCUCGGCCGCAGCCCACCUUCCGCUUCUGCGCGCAGAAGUCGUCCCGAGGAGGGGCCGGAAGCCCGAACGGCGCCGGUAGGGUCGGCCUCCCCGCACGGGAAAGGCGGGUCAUGCAAAUGAGCAUCGACCCUUUGGCCACCGCGCCAAGCGGAGAUAAGAAUUCACUUAAAAACGUAGAGAAUCGAAAAAAAUGUUCACAGAGUCUAAUGUUUCCUCUAUAUCUGUCAAGAGACUGUGGAGAUGAGACUUCGUUUGAUGGUGAGCCGGAUCACCGUGAGUGAAAUAUGGGUGGAAGCAGGAGGGUGCUGGCGCGGGCGCCGUGGUCGGUAUCGCUUCUCGGCCUUUUGGCUAAGAUCAAGUGUAGUAUCUGUUCUUAUCAGUUUAAUAUCUGAUACGUCCUCUAUCCGAGGACAUUAUAUUAAAUGUAUUUUUGGAGCUGGGAGAUGGAAUAGGAGCUUGCUCCGUCCACUCCACGCAUCGACCCGGUAUUGCAGUACCUCCGGGAACGGUGCACCCCCUCUGGGGAAAUAACUCUGGUCUCUAAAGGAAGGUUCAAGCUUUGCCUGCUCCCAUUCUGCCUGCGCUCUUGCCGGGGCAGGCGCCAUCUUGCUCCGACCUGACCCGGGUUCUCCUUACCUUUAGAGAUGAGGCGCUCUUCCCUGAGGUUCGGGUGUCGAGCACUCUUUUUGCCUUGUCCUUAGUUUGCCUCGGACUUGAUGGGACGCUCCUGCGCAGGUGCGGGCCAGGGGAGACCCGCUAGGCAAACUUGCCGUCCGUCCUCAGGGCCAAGCCCAACCCAGGGGAGGGACCAGGACCCCUGUCCAAAUGGCCACAAUACCAGCCGGGACAAGGAGGCGAGGAACAGAUGCUUGGGGAAACCAAAGGAGUGAGCAGAAGAUGGUUUCUUCACACGCACAGAUACCUAUCAAAUGCCAAGUACGUGCCCAACGCUGUCCUAGCUGCCGAGGGUAGAGCAGCACACAAAAUCUCUGCCGUCAGGGUGAGAAGCUUAUCUGCUUCUACAAGGUAUGCGUAUUUGUCAGUGUACCUCUACACCUGUGUGCCUGUGUGUACAUGUCUGUAUCUGUGUAUCUCUGUCUAUGCCACGUGACGACCACGGGUGUGCAUAAUGACUUGACAGCUGGGAGAGAGAGAAAGCCAGGUAAAGAGGGAUGUGAAGCAGGAGUGCCCGGGGUGGGGGCGGGGGAGAACCUUCCCAGCGCCACAGGAUGGACGUUAGCUCUGUUUUACGGACGGGAGGUGACGUUCCCUAGAGGGCACUUGUAACAGAGAGAGGCCAAUACGUGCUUGGCACCUCCACGAGGACCCGGACCAGGGAGGUGUUGUCAUUGUCCCCGCUGUACAGGUUAACAAACCCGAGGGCCCACGCGGUCAACAGACUGCCUGAGUCCCGACUUUGCUCCACAUGAGCUGUGUGACCUGAGGCCAAUUGCUUAGAAAUGUGUGAGUCGCAAAUGUAAUUUCUAAUUUUCUAGUAGCCACAUUUAAAUAUAAAAUAAAGAAAAACCCGUGAACUUGUUUAUUUUAUUUAACUCAGUAUAUCAAACAUAUUGCUUCCAUAUGGAACCCCUAUAAAAAUUCAGAUAUUUUACAUAUCUUAUGCCAAGUCUUCAACAUCCCAUGUGUGCGUGACACGCAGGGCAGGGCACACACCCAGCGCUCAGCAGCCCCCUGUGGCUGUCGGCUGGCCAGCGCGGGUCCACGGAAUGGGGAUGGUGAGGACCAGGUGGGGAUUAGCGCGGAAUGAACUGAGUGAGGCGCUUGCCUUGGGAAAACGAAAACCGUAAGGGAGCACCCAAACACCGGGAACCAACAUGAAUACCUCCUCCUCAAGACAAGUUGUAUUAAAAUAGUAUUUCUCUUGAC